AGACUCUGUGCGCGUGCAUAUCAAUAAGCGGAGGAAAAGAAACUAACAAGGAUUCCCUUAGUAACGGCGAGUGAAGCGGGAAGAGCUCAAAUUUGAAAUCUUCAAGGUUCUACCUUGACGAAUUGUAGUUUAUAAGAAGUGUUUUCUGUUAGUGGAGUUGGCUAAAAGUUCUUUGGAAUAGGACAUCAUAGAGGGUGAGAAUCCCGUAUUUGGUCAUUCUCUCUAGCUUUGUGAUACACUUUCAACGAGUCGGAUUGUUUGGGAAUGCAGUCCAAAAUGGGUGGUAAAUUUCAUCUAAAGCUAAGUAUUGGCGAGAGACCGAUAGCGAACAAGUACCGUGAGGGAAAGAUGAAAAGAACUUUGAAAAGAGAGUUAAACAGUACGUGAAAUUGUCAAAAGGGAAGCGUUUGACACCAGUGUUGUUUUUCCGAAAAUCAAUUACGAAUGUUUUGUUUUUGAGGAGUUAUGACUUCAUCGGCUUGCUCCUUUCUUUACGAAACUUUCUUAAUGCACUUUUCGGUUAACAAGUCAACAUCAAUUUCUUUUGUUGUAAAAGGGUAUGAGGAAGGUGGCUUUCUUUUCGGAGAAAGUGUUUAUAGCCUUGUGCCUCUACAAUCGGAGAGAUUGAGGUCUGCAGCGUAGAUCCUUCGGGGUUAGAUACGUUUGUGCUAAGUUAUAGCUUUUCAUAGACAACUUGUUGACUAUGUUUAGUCUUGUAGCCUACUCGCUGACGCUAUUUUACCUACGCUUAGGAUGUUGAUCUGUAGUGCGUGCGC
rnacentral:rRNA from 1 species